UUGUAAANCUGGGUAACUUCCCCUNUUGUAGUAGGUAAGUGGAACUCCAUGAUGUAGCGGUGGAAUGCNUAAAUAUAUGGAAGAACACCAGCUGGCGAAGGCGGCUUACUGGACAACAACUGACGUUGAGGCUCGAAAGUGUGGGUAGCAAACAGGAUUAGAUACCCUGGUAGUCCACACCGUAAACGAUGAAUACUAGGUGUUAGGAGGUUUCCGCCUCUUAGUGCCGAAGCUAACGCAUUAAGUAUUCCGCCUGGGGAGUACGACCGCAAGGUUGAAACUCAAAGGAAUUGACGGGGACCCGCACAAGCGG
rnacentral:rRNA from 1 species